rnacentral:rRNA from 1 species
AAUUACCCACUCCCAGCACGGGGAGGUAGUGACGAAAAAUAACGAUACGGGACUCAUCCGAGGCCCCGUAAUCGGAAUGAGUACAAUUUAAAACUUUUUCCGAGGAUCAAUUGGAGGGUAAGUCUGGUGCCAGCAGCCGCGGUAAUUCCAGCUCCAAUAGCGUAUAUUAAAGUUGUUGCGGUUAAAAAGCUCGUAGUCGAAUCUGUGUCCCGCGCCGCUGGUUCAUCGCUCGCGGUGUUCAACUGGCGUGUUUCGCGGGACGUCCUGCCGGUGGGCGCUCGUAUCGUUUCGGCGGUGCGUGGCCCAGCUCGUAGCCGUCUCGCGCGGUUGCGAAUCUCAUCGCGGUGCUCUUUAUUGAGUGUCGAGGUGGGCCGGCACGUUUACUUUGAACAAAUUAGAGUGCUUAAAGCAGGCCAAUUUUGCCUGAAUAUUGUGUGCAUGGAAUAAUGGAAUAGGACCUCGGUUCUAUUUUGUUGGUUUUCGGAACCCCGAGGUAAUGAUUAAUAGGAACGGAUGGGGGCAUUCGUAUUGCGACGUUAGAGGUGAAAUUCUUGGAUCGUCGCAAGACGGACAGAAGCGAAAGCAUUUGCCAAAAACGCUUUCAUUGAUCAAGAACGAAAGUUAGAGGUUCGAAGGCGAUCAGAUACCGCCCUAGUUCUAACCAUAAACGAUGCCAGCUAGCGAUCCGCCGACGUUCCUCCGAUGACUCGGCGGGCAGCUUCCGGGAAACCAAAGCUUUUGGGUUCCGGGGGAAGUAUGGUUGCAAAGCUGAAACUUAAAGGAAUUGACGGAAGGGCACCACCAGGAGUGGAGCCUNNGGCUUAAUUUGACUCAACACGGGACACNUCACCAGGNCCGGACACCGGAAGGAUUGACAGAUUGAUANCUCUUUCUUGAUUCGGUGGGUGGUGGUGCAUGGCCGUU